rnacentral:tRNA from 1 species
UUAGGUGUAAAAAAGACUUCUAAUCUUUAACUAGCACAAUAGCUACACCUAAA